AUACGUAGGGUGCGAGCGUUGUCCGGAAUUACUGGGCGUAAAGAGCUCGUAGGUGGUUUGUCGCGUCGUCUGUGAAAUUCCGGGGCUUAACUCCGGGCGUGCAGGCGAUACGGGCAUAACUUGAGUACUGUAGGGGAGACUGGAAUUCCUGGUGUAGCGGUGAAAUGCGCAGAUAUCAGGAGGAACACCGGUGGCGAAGGCGGGUCUCUGGGCAGUAACUGACGCUGAGGAGCGAAAGCAUGGGUAGCGAACAGGAUUAGAUACCCUGGUAGUCCAUGCCGUAAACGGUGGGCGCUAGGUGUAGGGGUCUUCCACGACUUCUGUGCCGUAGCUAACGCAUUAAGCGCCCCGCCUGGGGAGUGCGGCCGCAAGACUAAAACUCAAAGGAAUUGACGGGG
rnacentral:rRNA from 1 species